AAAAGCUGGGGAGCGGCCCCCUAUACGUUCUCGCUCUCUCUCUCUCGCUGAGGCUGAAGCCACGCCCUAUUCCGGUUGCUCGCCCUGGUUUGUUACCGGUGUUUAGAACUUUCGGCGUGUUAUCGUGAUUGGCGUCGGGUAGCUACGUUUAGUGUUACCAACGGAAGCUACAGCGGCUGGAGCGGCUCCUGACGUGCUCUCCCUUGUGUGUAUGUGUGUGUGUGCCACGCAGCUGCCCAGAGUGGCAGCGUCAAGGACCCGCUGCUGUUUUGCCUUGCUGUUGUUUUGCUCCACUUUGGCCAUGUAUCUGUGAUGGGCUUGCUAUACGGCUAACUGCAGCUAGCCUCCGUUAUUUCUCUGCCUCAUCGGCCUGGUCUGCUUCCCCUCGGCGUCGGCCGGGUUAGACCAGAGGCUGAGCACCUGUGGCAGGGAACGUGGUGUCGUCGGUGGUGGUAUCCCUCCCCGUGUGAUGUGUGAACCCUGGGUAUUUUUCAUUUAAUCCAUCACGUGUGUGUGUGUGUGCGAUUUUAUUCACCUGGUGACCUCUCCCUGGGCCCUGUUCCUCCCCUCCGGUGAUACAUCCUGCCACAUGCUCUCGUAGGAGGCGGUCGCACUUUUCCUUGCUCCGCUAUCUCUGUUCCUCCCUACCCUCAUGUCUCCCUGCUUGCUGCAUUUCUUCGUCUUCGUCUCGUCUGUCUGACUUGGAGCGAUUGCUUGGCACUGGACCUUCGAAACACCGAUCAUGGAAUUGAUUAACUGGUCUCUCAACGCAAUUGACAAGAUUGUCGCCACAAAGAGCACAGGCCUAGGGGAGCCUACCUGUCCGGAUGGGAGUUUUGCCUCUGGUUACGUGAUCGACGCCUGGGGGAAGUGGAAGGGGAUCAUGUGCCUGGCACCCCUAUCCGUGGAGGAUGUGGAAGAUGUUUAUAUAUUCGGAUUUAUGAUGACAGGCCUGCUGAUAAUUGGCUUGUUCACUGGCCUGAGCUUCUGGAAAAUCAGGAAGACCGCAGACAGAAACGACGUCCAAACUCUGCUGGUCUAUGCAAACGAACGGAUCACGGCUGCCGAUUCUCGGUAUGACGAACUCAAUCGUAAGAUGAACAAUUUGAUUUGAGUCGCAGAUUGGAAGCCAUCAGGGUGAGAAUCGCUACAGCUGAGGUCUAAAAUUGUUGAGAGCAGUAGGGAGAAGGUGAAAUUACUUCUCUCCCGCGCAAACGUGAAUAACUGAUUACAUUCUGGCGCCCCUGGAACAAUAAACUCCUCUGGAAGUUUCAUGGCCAAGAGAUAGCUCUCCUACACCCCAACCGAGGAUGUCUCCAUAGCAACCUUGCUGUGUUAUCGCGCUCCCACCCUCGCGAACUGAGACACCGGAGGUCUGAGACGGAAGAAGAUGGGCUACACACAUACACAAACAUUGGACUCAUGAACUGAGGACUGAGCUAAACAUUCACACACACAUUCCCAUAUCCCCCAUCCCCCCCCCCGCCUCCACAAGCUUCCCUCGCUAUGCACAGGAGCCAGGAAUCCGUGCACCUGCACAGGAACCGGCUAACUGUGCAGUGCUCCCCCCCUCCACCACCCCACAUCCUUAUCCCAACUAUCCUUGUCUAACGUCAUGCUUUGCCUGUUUGCGGGUUUGUUUUUUUAGGUUCCUUCUCAAAUUGAAUUUCCCAACAUUGGAGGUUUCAUUUGGUACAACGAGCCUUUUAUUUUCUUUUACCCUCUGCUAUCCCUACCCAGAUCCCAACAUGUCCUUUUUCUUUUUUCUUCGAGAAAGGUGCGCGCAGCACUGCGCAGCAGCCGGAGCUGUCAUUGGCAGGGCAGCUCAAAUGAAAUUUCGUUGUAUAUGAAAAUGUGCAAUGACCAAUAAAGAUUGAUCGAUUACA